rnacentral:lncRNA from 1 species
AACUAUUGCGUUAUGAUUAGGUGAUCAUCACCCAUUACCUAAUCACAUAUGCAACACCAACACGACAGGGGAAAAGAGAAGAAGCCGACAAGGACUCCAACAAGCAAAUAUUAUCCAGAUUGACGCGCGGACGCUGACCAAUUCAGAGAGGUAAAUCUACUACAUGAUCUCCAAACAACCUAAAGCUUCCGGGCAUAUAGAAGCAAAAUUAUCGAAUAUCACUGCAGAACUAGAAACAAAUUUUAAGGCACACAAUCUGUCGCUUACCAUACCCCCAAGUCUUAGAAGAAGAAGAAAAAUAUCAUACAGUUCGUAAAAUUGAAGCCCUAACCGUAGGAUUCGAAGAAUUCAACUAAUGCUAAUAAAUUGAAUCCCUAGAUUAUCAAUUCAAUAACCACACAUCGAAAUUAAUUCAAGAGAGUAAAAGAAGCUGGGAGGUAAUUUACCAAACGAAUUUCCGAGAUUGAGCAGCCGAGGAAGCGUCGGUUGAGCCGGGCGGCAGAACAAUGCAACGGAGAGCCGAGGCGGAGCAGCG